rnacentral:rRNA from 1 species
UAGUAGGGAAGCGAAAGCGGACCGACCCUUCGGGGAGCCUCUACAGGUGUUGCAUGGCUGUCGUCAGCUCGUGUCCGUGAGAUGUUCGGUUAAGUCCGCUUAACGAGCGCAACCCUCGCUGUGUGUUACAAGUGUCACACGGUACUGCCGAUAUUAAGUCGGAGGAAGGUGGGGAUGACGUCAAGUCAGCAUGACCUUUAUAUCCAGGGCUACACACACGCUACAAUGGCCAGUACAAUGGGUUGCCAAGCCGCGAGGCGGAGCCAAUCCUAAAAAGCUGGCCUCAGUUCAGAUUGCAGUCUGCAACUCGACUGCAUGAAGUUGGAGUUGCUAGUAACCGCAGGUCAGCAAUACUGCGGUGAAUACGUUCCGGGAUU